AGUGAACGCUGGCGGUAGGCCUAACACAUGCAAGUCGAACGGCAGCACAGUAAGAGCUUGCUCUUACGGGUGGCGAGUGGCGGACGGGUGAGGAAUACAUCGGAAUCUACUUUUUCGUGGGGGAUAACGUAGGGAAACUUACGCUAAUACCGCAUACGACCUACGGGUGAAAGCAGGGGAUCUUCGGACCUUGCGCGAUUGAAUGAGCCGAUGUCGGAUUAGCUAGUUGGCGGGGUAAAGGCCCACCAAGGCGACGAUCCGUAGCUGGUCUGAGAGGAUGAUCAGCCACACUGGAACUGAGACACGGUCCAGACUCCUACGGGAGGCAGCAGUGGGGAAUAUUGGACAAUGGGCGCAAGCCUGAUCCAGCCAUACCGCGUGGGUGAAGAAGGCCUUCGGGUUGUAAAGCCCCUUUGUCGGGAAAGAAAAGCAGCAGGUUAAUACCCCGCUGUUCUGACGGUACCCAAAGAAUAAGCACCGGCUAACUUCGUG
rnacentral:rRNA from 1 species